AAUGCCCUGCGGGUUAGUCGGACCCUAAGGCUAAGCGAUAAAGCAAAGUCGAUGGACAACAGUUUAAUAUUACUGUACCAAUUGUAAUCUGAUGGAGAGACGCAGAAGUGAAAGUCCCGCGAACUGACGGAAUAGUUCGUUAAAGCUCGUAGAUAUAUCUUUGGUAGGCAAAUCCGCCAGAGAUGUCGAAGGUGAUAGUACUCCAAGUCUUCGGACAAGGAGAUAGUGGACCUAAUCAGGCUGUCAAGAAAAUCUUCUAAGGCUAAAUUACAAUUGACCGUACCUCAAACCGACACAGGUAGUCAAGGAGAGAAUCCUAAGGUGCUCGAGUGAUUCACGGCUAAGGAACUCGGCAAAUUAACCCUGUAACUUCGGGAAAAGGGGUGCCUGCUUCGGCAGGCCGCAGAGAAAUGGCCCAGGCGACUGUUUAUCAAAAACACAUGGCUAUGCAAAAUCGAAAGAUUACGUAUAUGGCCUGACACCUGCCCGGUGCUGGAAGGUUAAGAGGGGAUGUCAGCCGCAAGGCGAAGCAUUGAAUCGAAGCCCCAGUAAACGGCGGCCGUAACAAUAACGGUCCUAAGGUAGCGAAAUUCCUUGUCGGGUAAGUUCCGACCUGCACGAAUGGUGUAACGAUCUGGGCACUGUCUCAGCCGUGAGCUCGGUGAAAUUGUGGUAUCGGUGAAGACGCCGGUUAAUCGCAUCGGGACGGAAAGACCCCAUGCACCUUCACUAUAGCUUAGCAUUGACUUUGGGUAAAUGAUGUGUAGGAUAGGCGGGAGAUUGUGAAGCGGUGUCGCUAGGCAUCGUGGAAUCAACCUUGAAAUACCGCCCUUUAUUUACUUGGAGUCUAACCCAUACAUUGGGGACAUUGCUUGGUGGGUAGUUUGACUGGGGUGGUCGCCUCCAAAAUUGUAUCGGAGGCUUCUAAAGGUCCGCUCAGCACGCUUGGUAACCGUGCGUAGAGUGCAAUAGCAUAAGCGGGCUUGACUGUGAGGCCUACAAGCCGAGCAGGUACGAAAGUAGAGUAUAGUGAUCCGGUGGUUCUGUAUGGAAGGGCCAUCGCUAUAGAUAAAAGGUACGCUGGGAUAACAGGCUGAUCUCCCCCAAGAGCUCAUAUCGACGGGGAGGUUUGGCACCUCGAUGUCGGCUCGUCACAUCCUGGGGCUGGAGAAGGUCCCAAGGGUUGAGCUGUUCGCUCAUUAAAGUGGCACGCGAGCUGGGUUCAGAACGUCGUGAGACAGUUCGGUCCCUAUCUGAUGUGAUCGUUGGAAGUUUGAGAGGAUCUGACCUUAGUACGAGAGGACCGGGUCGGACGUACCUCUGGUGUAUCUGUUGUGGCGCCAGCUGCAUUGCAGAGUAGCUAUGUACGGACAAGAUAAGCGCUGAAAGCAUCUAAGCACGAAACUUACCUCAAGAUGAGACUUCCUUUAAGGGCCGUAGAAGACUACUACGUUGAUAGGCUACAGAUGUAAAGGCAGUAAUGUCAUAGUCGAGUAGUACUAAUUACCCAA
rnacentral:rRNA from 1 species